UGGAAAUAAUGCUAAUGGAGUGUGCCAGAAGAUCCAGUUUUUGGAGUUUGUUGAAAUGAUAUGGAAGGCCCCAUAAUUUAAGAAUAUUUUGUCAUGUCCUUUGAAGACUGAAAUAGGGAGCCCUGUCCUCACCCAUGGCUCUGUGUAGCCACAGAACAUUCCCUCUGUGUCCAUGCUCCUGUGUAAUAGUCACAUGUUCAUAGACUCAGCAAAGGAGCAAAUCUAGAAAAUAUUUCUAAUUCUGCCACCAAUGAAAAGAAAGUACUGAGGACCAGGGACAUACAGACUUUUAUAACCCUGGUGCUUGGUAUUUUUCAAGGCAGAGAAACUAUUCUGUAUGAUAAUUGAAUGGCUGAAUACAUGUAAUUUUACAUUUGUCUAAAUCUAAAUAUUCACAGUUACUGUACUCUAAUGUCAACUUAAAAUUCAUUUAAUUUAAUUUAAUUAAUUUAUUUUUGGUACCAGGGAUCGUACUUGGGACCUUGUGCUUGUGAGGGAGGCACCACUGAGCUAAAUCCGCAGCCCUUAAAAUUCGUUUUAAAUUGAUGAGUCAUUGAAUCAUGAAUUAUUUUCAGGUCCAACUCUUUUGAAUCACCUUUCAUGUCACAGUUCUCAGUGUCUGCAUUUCCUCACACAACACAGCCCUGAGUAUCAUCAAGAGAACUGGUGAUAGGGAUGGGGAUAAGGUCCUGAGUUCGAUCCCCGGUACCAAAAAAAAAAAAAGAGUACUGGUGAUAGAGUGCUACUUCAAAGAGCGCAUCAUGGCUAUCUUCUGUUUACUGUCAGUGGGAAACAUUGGACCAAAGAAUGACGUCUUAAUGAUAGUCCUGCUCAACCCAUGAAUCGGUCACAUCAGCCUCCUGUUGCUCUGAAUUUUCUGUCAUCGAUUUCAAGAGUUUCCAGUUUAUCCUGCCUUUAACUGCAUUGCGUGGUGUUUGACAGGCAACCCUUUUGCACCUGCCUCUCUGACAAAGUGAGCAAAUUUCAAAUUGAAGUCACUAAAAACAGAGGGUUGCAAUGGCCUUUCUUCUUGGACUAACACAGGACCAUGUCUGGAGCCAGUGGCCUUCACCAACAGGUGCCCUCCUUGGCCCCCUGACUGAGACCCCUGCCCAACUGAGAGAGAAAAAGCCCCAAAAGACGCAUUGCCUGCAAGAAAAGAGAUAAUAGGAAGCCAGCUACUGCCUUGCUCAUUCACACCUGCAAGGAGACUGACUCUCUGAAAAACCACAAGGCACCCGCCUUACCUUGCUGUACCUGCCAUCGCCCUGCUACCCUCACCCCGUCCUGUUCAUCAGUCUUAAGCCUGUCACCCAAGAGACUCCAAAAUCUUCCUCCUUCUGAGCUGACACUCCCUCCCCUACUUAAACUUCCCUAUUUAAACUGUGCUCACUGUCCUUCCUAUGCCAACAGCAUUUUUGCCCUUGGCCUAUCUGCGCCCAGAUGGUAAAAAACUCAUUGCAUGUUGCUUAGAUUUUGCCUGCCUUGGUGAUCUCACUCGUGCUCCAGUUGAACCUUACACUUUCUAUGUCUGUUUAUACUAAACAAUAAAAGUGAGAUUCACUGACCUAAAUCAAUUAUUUUUUUAAAUCUCCUUACCCUCCCUUCCCUCCAUUCACCCCUCCCUUCAUCUUUUGG
ensembl:lncRNA